GAUAAACGCUGGCGGCGUGCUUAACACAUGCAAGUCGAACGAAGUUUUUCCUUCUGGAGACACUUAGUGGCGGACGGGUGAGUAACUCGUGGGUAACCUGCCCUGUACAGGGGGACAACAGCUGUCAACGGCUUCUAAUACCGCCUAAGCCCUUAGCCCUGCAUGGUGCAUAGGGAAAAGGAGCACGCCGGUACAGGAUGGACCCGCCUCUGAUUAGCCUGUUGGCAGGGUAACGGCCUACCAAAGCGACGAUCAGUAGCCGACCUGAGAGGGUGUACGGCGACAGUGGGACUGAGAUACGGCACAGACUCAGACGGGAGGCAGAAGUGGGGAAUAGUGAACAAUGGGAGGAAGCCUUAUGCAGAAACGCCGCGUGAGGGAUGACGGCCUUCGGGGUGUAAACCGAUUUAGCCUGUGACGAAGCGUGAGUGACGGUAAUGGGUAAAGAAGCAACGGCUAACGACGUG
rnacentral:rRNA from 1 species